UCUCUGCACGACUCCAACCCCGAUUUCUACAUUUUGGCUGCCACAGCGUUUUUGAGAGCGAAGUCAUCGAGCGCCCCCCCCCCUCCCCACCCUUUUCCCCCUCCUCCCCACUCUCCGGUCCUCGGCUAGGGUUAAAAAAGGAGAAGUGAAAGGUAUGCAAAUGACAAGCAAAUUCAAGAGCCUGGAAGAAAGGCUGCUAUAAUAAACAAGACAAAGAGAAAAGGACGUGGGGACAGCCCAGGACUUUUAACCGGGGAGGUGGGAAGGAGGAGGGGGGGCGAGAAGCAGGGAUCCAGGCGAACAAAAAAGCCCCCCGGCCCGCCUCGCGGUCCUCUCUCCCGAGAAGAGAGGGCAGGAGAAAGGAGGAAAGGAAGCAAACGCCUCCUCAGACCCCAGAAACAGUACACAAAAGGUUGAUAAGAUCAGCGACAAGUCCAGCAGUAUCAGCCUGCCCCAAUCGCAAACACCACCCCCAGCCAGCGGCAGGAAAGAAAGAAAUAAAAGCCCAGCGGAGCACUUACUCUUAGGAACUGGGAGGAGCGGAGCGCGGAGUUCCACUGAGGCUCAAGCUUAGAAACUGUUUAGAGGCUAUUUUAUUAGGACACAUGUAAAUAACACCAUUUUCUCCUGGAAAAAAAAAAAUGUUUACACGGGUGUGAGUAAUGGAAGUCUAUUUUCUUUUCUUCUCAUUCAAGAACAAGCCAGGACAAGUGAUUCGGGAAAAGGGGAGGGGACUCGCGAGGGGGAGAAGAUACUUACGCGGUGCCGAGAGCAGUGGGAUGGAGCCUCGCUCGCUCGGGUUGGUUUUUUUUUUUUUUGCCGGCAGAGCGAGGAAAACACGCGCGCGCACACGCGGUGCCGGCUGGCGGGGGAUGGAUGUGCUAAUUGGACCAGGGACGGUGAGGAUAGUUUUUGAGCACUUAGACGUUUUGUGGCAGAGCCUGUACAGAUCCCAGGCGUUCGGAUUCCUGGCUCAGCACCCUGUCUCCUCGAUUCCUUGCUGGGCAUCACUGUUUUUUUGUGUGCGCAAAGUAUGAUCCCUGAUAAUGCUUGCUGCCAGUAUCAUGGGAGCAGUUACCAUGAUUGGAAUGCAAUUCCAUACACUUCCCAGUAUGUUAGAGUUGGACUCAGUUGUGUUUUCCCUACACAUGGCUCUACCGCUCCUCUAUUUGAACCUAUAGUUAGUACUAGAGUUGACAGUUGUAUGUCCAAGAAACUUAAAUCUUUGGGCUGUCCACGUGCCAGCUGGGCCCUGAAUCUCAAUAGACUUGCAACACCUACUUUCCAGUUCAUUGGACUCACCCAGGACAACGAACAAGGAGAAGAUGACUGACAACAACCAUCUCAAGGAGCAGAGAGAGUCUGCAACUGCAAGCAAGAAAGUCCCAUGCAUCUGCCCUAUAGGUCCUAAGCACCCCCCUCAAUUAGAGAUGGAGUGGGCAUCACCAUCACAGAAUCCUCAGGAUUAGGGAAUGGACGAUGGAUUCGAGUAGACUUGCAAUUGUUCUACUGUAGACUUGUUGUGAUCCUAGGAAUGGAAGACUUUUAUAGUAGAUGUGGAGGCAGUGGCCACUGGAGGUUCUGAGGGGAGGGAGAGGGAAAAAUAGGUGUAAUUUGGGAGGAUUAUUGGGACUUGGGAAUUAUUCUGAAUGACAUUUCAAUGACAGAUAUAGGCCAUUGUGUAUCAUGUAAUAACUUGCAAAAAUGUAUAGGAGAGAGUGUAAAGUACAAUGUAAACCAUAAUCAUCACUUAUUGACAAUGCUCCAAGAUGUGUUCAUCAAUUGUGACAAAUGUACCAUACUAAUGAAGAAUGUUGCUGAUGUGGGAAAAUGUGGGAAGGCUAGGGAGCAGGGCAUACAGGAAUCCCCUAUAUAUUUUGUGUAACAUUUAUAUAAUCUAAGUUUCUUUAAAAAAUAAAAAAAUGUAUAUAUAAAACAAAAGAAAUGCAACUCCAUUUUCCAGUGCGGAUUUUUAAAGGAACUUGAGCAGCCUGUUCUAGAGCUCAUCUGGAAGAGCAAUGCCUGACAAUAGCCAUGAAAACAAAACAAAACAAAAGAUCAGUGAAGACUUGACCUAAUAGUUAUCAAAACAAACCAUGCAUCUUAAGCAACUAACACACUAGAGUAGUGAUAGACAGAUCAACCAAUUGAAAAUAUUAGAGUCCAGAAACAGACCUAAGAAUAUAGAGGAAGUUAACAGAAAAUAUGGAGGCAUUUCAAAUCAGUGACAAAAGAGUACACUGUUUAGUAAAUGAUAUUGGGCCAACUGGUUAUCCAAGUAGACUCAUACCAUAUGCAAAAGUAAAUUUCAGAUGGAAUAUAUUUAUAAACAUGAAGAUCAAAUCUAUACAGAUAAUAGAAGGAAAUAUAAAUGAGUCUUUUACAAACAAUCUUGCUGGAAAGUCUAUGUAGACAAGAUGAAAAAUCCAGAGACCAUUUAGGAAAACCUGACAGAUUUGACUUCAUUAAAAAAUAUGCACAAAGUUAAUGACAGAUUGGGACAAAAAAAAUUGAAUUAUACAUUACUGAAAAAGUGUUACUAUCCAUUAUUCAAAGAGCACCUACAAGUUGAUGAGAAAAAUAUAAAUAGUUCACUUGAAAAAAAUGGGCAAAAGAUAGAAAAUAGGCAACUCUCAGAAGAAGAAAUGCAAAUAGCUAGUAUACAUUUGAAAACUAUGCUCAACCUCAUUAGUGAUAAAAGAAAUUAAAAUAAAAGAACACUGAGUUGCUCUUUCCAACCUAUCAAAUUGGCAAAACAUUCGGGAAUUGAUUGGCUACAUCAGAAUGAAUGAAUAUACUGCAC
rnacentral:lncRNA from 1 species